rnacentral:tRNA from 1 species
GCCCUGGUAGCUCAGGCGGGUAGAGCGGUUGCCUCGUAAGCAACAGGCCGGGGGUUCAAAUCCCCCCCAGGGCU